rnacentral:rRNA from 1 species
AGUGAACGCUGGCGGUAGGCCUAACACAUGCAAGUCGAACGGCAGCACAGUAAGAGCUUGCUCUUACGGGUGGCGAGUGGCGGACGGGUGAGGAAUACAUCGGAACCUACUUUUUCGUGGGGGUUAACGUAGGGAAACUUACGCUAAUACCGCAUACGACCCACGGGUGAAAGCAGGGGAACUUCGGACCUUGCGCGAUUGAACGAGCCGAUGUCGGAUUAGCUAGUUGGCGGGGUAAAGGCCCACCAAGGCGACGAUCCGUAGCUGGUCUGAGAGGAUGAUCGGCCACACUGGAAGUGGGACACGGUCCAGACUCCUACGGGAGGCAGCAGUGGGGAAUAUUAGACAAUGGGCGCAAGCCUGAUCCAGCCAUACCGCGUGGGUGAAGAAGGCCUUCGGGUUGUAAAGCCCUUUUGUUGGGAAAGAAAAGCAGCAGGUUAAUACCCCGCUGUUCUGACGGUACCCAAAGAAUAAGCACCGGCUAACUUCGUG